CAGUUAGUUAGAGGCUGCACAGCAAAUGUUAAAAACCAAAAGUUGUUUGGUGGUUCACUGUGCAUGCUGGGAGUGCUGAGUGUAAGGCCGGAGUGAGUGGAAUGAACAGAUUGCUUGUGGAGUUGUGUUACCUGGCUGAUAGGAAGACACUGCCUGAUUUCUGUGUGCUAAGGUUAAACUGGGGAGUGGGAUUAAUUGAAAUCACAGGCGAUGGGCUGCAAAUAAUUGCUGGAUUACUUACUGGUUCAUUUGAGGAUCUCAUUAGUCUGCUGUGACUGUGCUCUCUGCCACCACCAAGUGGCCAGCAUCUCUCCUAUAAAAACCUGCUCAUUAAGCCGUGCUCUCCUUAAUGAAAUGGCUACUCUAAAGGUUACAGGUUUCCUUUUGGCAAAAGCCCAGAGAUAACUGGAAAUAAAGAAGAUGGAACAAAUGAUGAGUAAAAGAUGGUGAUUGGCUCUGUUCACUGAAACAGUGCUCUCUGCCACCACCAAGUGGCCAGCAUCUCAUCAAGCCGUGCUCUCCUUUAUGAAAUGGCUGCUCUAAAGGUUACAGGUUUCCUUUUGGCAAAAGCCCAGAGAUAACUGGAAAUAAAGACAGAAGAUGGAACAAAUGAUGAGUAAAAGACUGGUGAUUGACUAAAACAGGAAAGAGAGACCGAUAACUGGAAAUAAAGACAGAAGAUGGAACAAAUGAUGAGCAAAAGACGGUGAUUGGCUCUGUUCACUGAAACAGGAAAGAGAGACCGAUAACUGGAAAUAAAGACAGAAGAUGGAACAAAUGAUGAGCAAAAGACGGUGAUUGGCUCUGUUCACUGAAACAGCAGGCUUCCUUUUGGCAAAAGCCCAGAGAUAACUGGAAAUAAAGAAGAUGGAACAAAUGAUGAGUAAAAGAUGGUUUCCUUUUGGCAAAAGCCCAGAGUUAACUGGAAAUAAAGACAGAAGAUGGAACAAAUGAUGAGUAAAAGACGGUGAUUGGCUCUGUUCACUGAAACAGAAGCAUCACCCAGUGAACUAUGAACUAAAGAAGCCUAAAAAGAACAAGAAAAUGUCAAAAGAUGAGAAGACAGAUUCUGCUAGGCUACCUCCCAUCACAAUAAAGGCUUUUCUGUCAGUUGUCUAAUUUGUGUUUUUAAAAACUGUAUGUUUUAAAUAUUGUAUGCUUUGUAAAUGUUAUGUAUGUUUUGUAAAUUGUAUGUAUUAAACCUUUUUACACAAUUCUUA